UCUCCGCUCUAUACAGUGGUGUGGCCGGGAAGUACCUAGAAUGUACGUGUGGUGCAGUGCACACGACCCGAAUUCGGUUAAUUUUGGAUAAAUAUUGGAGGCAAAUGUUGAAUGCAGCCUAAACCCGACUAUAACUUAGCCCGCGAAGCAGUCGAGGUCCGAGAGGAAUCGGGUGAACAGUCUCUCAAGUUUCACGGCAUUGACUGCAUCGAUAUCGGGUGCAGGAGGGACAUGAUGGCUGAUAUGCUGUCAAAUUUCUGCUUUUUGCACCACAUGAUGAUUGUUAAUAGAGGGGAGUCUAGCCAACUGCUGUGCCUAGUCUACGUGUCCAGCUGUGUCGACGUUUACCUCAGCAUGCAGUGGAAAGCCGCCGCGAAAACUUCGCGCUUAAAACCAGAGCUUGUUCGAUGAAACUUGCUGGAUUAACGGAAACAGCCACAACGCAUCACCGACCCACUCAGAAAACAUUCAAGUUAUCAUGGUGUGUCAUGCGUGCAGUUGCAUUUAGUAUGGUGCUUUUGUAUACUAUUUCCCCUUGAAAUUAACUUUUCAACUAUUAUCAAUUUCCGUUCUGAGAUGACGAGUUUCAUGCAUUGAGUACUGAAGUACUUAUUUUAGAAAUUUCAAACUAGUUUAGAGUUCCACUUCACGUAUUUGACUACUGAUUACUAAGUUAGAUUCUCAAGUAUGGUGGUGCGUAUCAUUUACAAUUUAUACGAGAUGAUGUUAUCCUCUAGCUGACGCCUUGUAAAAACCAGGAAUAAGCUUGUAUGUAUAUUUUGAAAAUAAUGAAGGGGCUACAUUAUCGUACGUAAUCGUGUAUUGUUCUAAAAUAUAGUUAUAACAGUUUUGGAAUAGAUUUCUUAAUUUAUGUUUGUCGACUGCUUAAACUCCAUGUGUAAGGCUUUACGUUUUACUCCAAAAAUGUUUUGUAAUUUGAAUGUUUAUAUGCACUUGAGGUUCUAAACUUCUAAUAAACGGCCCGAACAUGUAAAUCUUUUUAUUUCUGUCAUAAUUUGUUAUACUUGUUCCUACUUCAUAUCUCAGAAUGACUGCAUUAAAAUUCGCUUUAUAAUUUUGUAUGUGUUCGUUGUUACAUAAUUCCCCAUGCCCUCCACAAUU
rnacentral:lncRNA from 1 species